rnacentral:rRNA from 1 species
UACGGGGGGAGCGAGCGUUGUUCGGAAUCACUGGGCGUAAAGGGCGCGUAGGCGGCUGAAUAAGUCAGAGGUGAAAUCCCAGGGCUUAACCUUGGAAUUGCCUUUGAUACUAUCUGUCUUGAAUAUUGUGGAGGUGAGCGGAAUAUGUCAUGUAGCGGUGAAAUGCUUAGAUAUGACAUAGAACACCAAUUGCGAAGGCAGCUCACUACACAAUCAUUGACUCUGAGGCACGAAAGCGUGGGGAUCAAACAGG